rnacentral:rRNA from 1 species
GACGAACGCUGGCGGCGUGCUUAACACAUGCAAGUCGAACGGAAAGGCCCUGCUUUUGUGGGGUGCUCGAGUGGCGAACGGGUGAGUAACACGUGAGUAACCUGCCCUUGACUUUGGGAUAACUUCAGGAAACUGGGGCUAAUACCGGAUAGGAGCUCCUGCUGCAUGGUGGGGGUUGGAAAGUUUCGGCGGUUGGGGAUGUACUCGCGGCUUAUCAGCUUGUUGGUGGGGUAGUGGCUUACCAAGGCUUUGACGGGUAGCCGGACUGAGAGGGUGACCGGCAACAUUGGGACUGAGAUACGGCCCAGACUCCUACGGGAGGCAGCAGUGGGGAAUAUUGCAAAAUGGGCGGAGGCCUGAUGCAGAAACGCCGCGUGCGGGAUGACGGCCUUCGGGUUGUAAACCGCUUUCGCCUGUGACGAAGCGUGAGUGACGGUAAUGGGUAAAGAAGCACCGGCUAACUACGUG